AACAGUGAUUAAAACCACUCAUUGUUAAAUUUGUUGAGGGACUUUAGAUUAAGGUGUUACUGCUUGUGAGUUGUUUCAGGACAUUGUAUGAAGAGCUUGAGCUAGCAGGUUUCAACAGGAAAAAAAACAGUGGCAUUAUGUUUGCAAAUAUGAUUAGUGCCUAUCUAAUUUAGGAUGGAGAGGAAGAAGUUGCUGCUGGUGAUGUUAGUCAUGACAACAUUUCACAUAAGAGUAAGACGGAAACAUAUUUCAGGGUAGCAUAAACAGCAACUAGAUACUAAGAAUCUUGUCCAUCUUAGGCUUUGAAACUUCAUCUCAAUCAAGGGGUAUAGCCACUGCCAUUUCUAGUGUGUGUUGUCUCUUCUGUUACCCAGCACUGCACUGUCACAGGCAGGUGCUGAUAAGAACUAACCCUUAUAUAGCAUUUUCUUUGUGAAGAUCAGAGUCCAUUUUUCUGUGGCUUAUUCUCUCUGUCUUAAAAGAAGACACAGAGAUGGUCCUACCUCAGCCUAAUCAAUAUCCUGCAGGUUUUUUUCUGCCACUUACCUUAGCUGUAGGAAAUUCAUCCAAAUUUGGACAGUUGCCUCUCCAAGUGUCUUGACCACCAUUAAAUUGUGGAGUAUCUUAUUCUAUUCUGCUGAAGAUUUUAUUUUGUCGUAGCUACCUUUCUCAGCAGUGAACAGGACAGACCAGUUCUUGGGUGAAUUGCUCUCGUGGUUUGAGGCAGAUGGAAAUUUUAUUCCUAGCUCUGCUGGUUCAUGUGUAUCCCAGACCAGGUAAGAAAGUGGCUAUUACCCCAGCCAAGCACAUGUUGCUUCUGUGGCUCAGUGAAGUUGUCCCAGGAGGAGUGUGCCACCCAGAGAGAUCACAUCAUUAAAAGCACAUGGCCUGAAGGUAUGAGUAUCUGGAAGGAUGGGGACCAGACUUUUAGUCCUUGCUUUGACCUGGCUGAAAGCUGGUGGUUAAGAGGUUCACUUCGCAUAUUUCUAGCAGACAUGUCCCUUUUACUGGGGCAGCAGAUGCUUGUUUGCUUGCUUGCUUUCUAAAGCUGAUCUGUGUAUCUGUGAGGAGAUUCACAGGGUACAUUUAAUACAUUAAUCCAGAGGUUAUCUCUCUAGCCUGUUAUGUGGAAAAAUGAAUGUGCUGGGGCACACUGUCUACUUUCAUAUUGGAAGCAUCAUUUUGGCUUUAUCUCAGAACUUGGGUGUUUACAGCAGACCAUUUCCCUAUUACAGCUGCUCUUGUUUUGGCUAACUUCUUAGCCCAGUAGUUUUGUUACUGACCUGACUUAAGAAAUGUGUUUAUAGUUGACAGGAUUCUGGCUAUUUGUGGACUCACUUCUUUCCCCCCUUCUUUCCUGCUUUGUAUUAGGUCCUUAUGCUGGAGAAGAGGCUUCCUGGCUUUUAGCCCCCUUGUGAAUGCAAGGGAACAAACUGCAGUUGCGUUACUGGAGAGGUUAGUGGGCAUUUCUUAGUCUCUGCAGUAUCCUUCAUUUUCUGCUGUCUUUCUUCAGCCUAAUUAGCCACCAUGUAGAUCAGUUGAAGCAGGAGGCCAUCAGGAAAUGGAAUGGUUGCUUCAAAGGCUUGUGCACUGUAGCAGUUCAAAAGGAGUGCAGACAACUGAUGCUCCAGAUUCUGUUGUCCUACAGCCUGGAGCAAGGAUUGGGUCCUUAAGGUCCCACAUUUGCUGCAAAUUGACCUAACCACUGAGCUAUCACUUGUACAACUAACUUACUGCCUUUUCUACUGGAUAAGACAAAGUGGAAACUACAACAGAAGAUAAUUCUCUAGAGCUGGUGAGUCCCUAUAAGCACAACUAGUGAAUCUGUCAUCACUUGCUGUGUAAAGAAGCCAAAGUUAGCCUGAAGCAUUGUUCUUUUAUGUAACAGAGGGGAAAUGGCUCUGGUCCAGGUGAUCCAGAAGCCUGAGGAGCCAGACCAUCCUGUGAUGUUGGCCUGAUUAGCUGUAAAUAAUCCGGGCUCAACUGCUCUGUUCUGUGUCUUUGCCCUUUGCUGGGUUUUCAGUGAGGGGAGGGGGAAAGUUUUCUAGCUACAAGGAUAGGAGAUCCUGUGUUUAUGAAUGGGACUACCUGUACUGUGAACUGGUUCUGGUGCAUGCAAGGGAUGAAGCAUGGAGAGAGAGUGGGUUUAUAAAUGCUUGUACAGAAGCAUCUGGAUAAUUAACUGUUAGGUAGGAGCACUUAAAUCCUUAAAGACAUUUUCUGUGGGAAAUACAGGCACGCAAGAGACAUGGUUUGAUGCUGACUUCUACCUAAAUUGCACAUCAGGAAUUGAGGUGUCAUUUUGAGUCUGACCUGGAAUAAUUUAUUCCGUAUCACAAGGAUUUAAACCUAGUCUUCCUGCCAGAGUAACACCAUCAUCACUAGGCCAUUUUUACCAGCUCAUCCGUCUCCACUGACAAGCUGGUGUGCUACAAUUGAGGGCCCAGGUCAAUUUGCUCUUUUGGUCCUGCAGGAACAAAUGCCAGUUAGCAGUGGGGGGCAGGAGCGAACACCAGCCUGAGUCACAGAGGGUAUUCCAGGAUAGCAUGGUCACUCUUUCAGGUGCUCUCAUGGGAGCAUCCUAAGCCUUGCAUAUUACCCUUUCCCACAGUUGCUGUAUGUGAAAGGUCUUUGAUCUAUGAAUGAGCCCGACACAUGGUGCUUGCUCACUGUAUGUUAACAGCAGAGAUGUUAUUUUUGGCUCCUGAAUUCUUUUUCUCCUUGACUAUCAGAGCUGAAAGACCUUUCGUCCUUAAGACAGGCAGCUGUUCACUACAUAGUGUGUUUGGGACGACGUGCUACAUAAUGCUGACACCUCUAUUGGGAACAAUUUUUUUUGCAAAAUGGAACAAGGGAGAGGAUUAUGCAGCUUCAUCCAGGUCAUGCUAUUUGGAAGAACUUAUGGAAGAAAGUCAAGAGCAGUAGUAAGAGCACAGAAUAAAA